AGCAUACGGAAAGCUGCGGCAAGUACGGAAAAGCUGAGAGCAGGCUUCCAGGAAAAGCUUCUAGCACAACACGCAUCGGCCCGUACCGAAAAUGGACACACAUGGGCAAGGAGAGAAUCCUGAGGUGAGCGAGAGAACUAUAGCUAAGGAACUCUGCAAAAUGACCCCGUAACUUAGGGAGAAGGGGUGCUCCAGAAAUGGAGCCGCAGUAAAACGGCCCAAGCGACUGUUUACCAAAAACACAGCUCUCUGCGAAGGCGCAAGCCGAAGUAUAGGGGGUGACACCUGCCCGGUGCUGGAAGGUCAAGGGGAGCUGUCAGCGCAAGCGAAGCAGCGAGCCGAAGCCCCAGUAAACGGCGGCCGUAACGAUAACGGUCCUAAGGUAGCGAAAUUCCUUGUCGGGCAAGUUCCGACCCGCACGAAAGGCGUAACGAUUUGGGCGCUGUCUCAGCUGUAGACUCGGUGAAGUCUUAGUACCUGUGAAGAUGCAGGUUGCCCGCGACUAGACGGAAAGACCCCAUGGAGCUUCACUGCAGGUUGACAUUGGGCUUGGAUGCAUGAUGUACAGGAUAGGUGGGAGGCUGUGAGCCGUGCGCGCUAGCGUACGGGGAGCCGCUGUUGGGAUACCACCCUUCAUGCAUCUAGGUCCUAACCGGAGGCAACGGGCCACGGGACAGUGUCAGUCGGGCAGUUUGACUGGGGCGGUCGCCUCCCAAAGAGUAACGGAGGCGCCCAAAGAUACCCUCAGCAUGGAUGGAAACCAUGCAUAGAGUGCAAAGGCAUAAGGGUGUCUGACUGCGAGACAUACAGGUCGAGCAGGGACGAAAGUCGGGCUUAGUGAUCCGGCGGAUCCGAAUGGAAGGGCCGUCGCUCAACGGAUAAAAGCUACCCUGGGGAUAACAGGCUGAUCUCCCCCAAGAGUUCACAUCGACGGGGAGGUUUGGCACCUCGAUGUCGGCUCAUCGCAUCCUGGAGCUGAAGUCGGUUCCAAGGGUUGGGCUGUUCGCCCAUUAAAGCGGUACGCGAGCUGGGUUCAGAACGUCGUGAGACAGUUCGGUCCCUAUCUGUCGUGGGCGCAGGAGGUUUGAGGAGAGCUGCCCCUAGUACGAGAGGACCGGGGUGGACGGACCGAUGGUGCACCAGUUGUCACGCCAGUGGCACAGCUGGGCUGCCAAGUCCGGACGGGAUAAGCGCUGAAGGCAUCUAAGCGUGAAGCCCCCUCCAGGAUGAGACCUCCCAUUGGCGACAAGUAAGGCCCCUCGAAGACGACGAGGUUGAUAGGCCGCGAGUGCAAGCGCAGCGAUGUGCUUAGCGGGGCGGUACUAAUAGGCCGAGGACUUGGCC
rnacentral:rRNA from 1 species